CUCAUAGCUGAUUUCCUUCAGUUAAGGAUGUACUUCAAUGCAGCUUACAUUGGAAAAGAACAGAUCUUAUCAAAAAGGACUGCUAUGAUUGCUAAGCCAUUACUUCUUAAUUAUUCACUAUUCUUGCGUACCACUUAAAAGUAUGGCUUUUUAAAGAGUAAAAAAUACAGUUUUUAACAUAAGUUUACUCUUCAGGAUACCAUAUAAAUGGCAGCUUAACCUGGAGACAUUUAUUAGGAAAGAAUUAUACUACCACUAAACUGUUGGAAGAAUGAAGGGAACCAUGUACUUGAGAAAGGAUUCAACUGCUAUCAGGUCAGCCUCGGCUCAUUUUAUCUUGUUAAAUUGGCUUCAAUCUACAGAUUUGCUCUGAAAAGCCACACAAUAAAUAUUAGAAUGCUGUUUAAAAUACUGUCUGAAAUUCUGUAUUUUUCAUUUGUAAAGACUUAUUGUGAGAAAUUCCUGCAUAUCUUCUUCUUUUUCUAAAAUCCCUAUAUUUUCCCAACAAUUGUUCUCAUUUUGAAUGGAGGACUACUGUUGCUGUAAUCCUCGAAUAACUCCAUGGGGUUAAGAUAAAUACAUAGUUGAAUCUGUAUGUCAGGAAAAAAUAUCUAGUCAAUUAUAAGACUGAAACAAGCAGGAAUAUUUGCAAAGAGUCCACGGGACUCCUAAAUACUGUCUAACAAAGCAUCUACAGGGCACUGACACUGACAGAAAAAUACUGUACUUCCCUUUCACCACAUUUUCUUCUCUGAUAUUAUUGACAAGCAACCAGUACCUUGAAGUGUUGUUGCUUUUGAACAACCCACUCCAGGCUUCCUGUUUCAGCAGGCCUGAUUGUGCUGUUAGCACAGAGAGGGCGAGAAAGAGAGAGAAUAUUUCUGUUGUUCACGAAAGCAACUAUGGAAAUGGCUGUCAAAAUGUAGAGCAGCAGGCAGCAACAUACAAUUAUCAGGAAAAACUCACAUGCUGACUUCGUGUCGUAUAGUUCCUGAACUGAGAAAUCAGUUAACCUUUCUUCUACAACUUUCAGAAGUUUUCCCACUGUACUGUUUGUGCUAUGUUGAUAGGCUUUAUAUAAGACAUUUAUAGACGUAUAAAGCUAAUAAAAAUUUGCCUUUUAGUUUUUCUUGUUUUCUAAAACCCAUUUUAAUAUUUUUCCUCAAAAUUCUUUAUUCUUUUUAAAAAUUGCUACUCAAUUACUGUAGUUCUACAUUUCUAGAAAUUGUAGAACAAGUCUACAACCAAGACCAAGAAAAAGAUUUGUAAGGAAGAUAAUUUGAAGUGGUAAUUCAAUUGGAGAUAACACAGCCAGUUACAUCUACAAAAGGUUAUUGAUUAAGAAGAAAAAAAAAGCUAAGAGUUAAAGUUCUGUACAGUGGGACUGAACUUUGAAAAGAAUUCUUCUCAAAUGGGUAGCAACAGAAGAAGAUGCUAUAUUAAAUGAUCAGUGGAAAGUAUUUUAUGGAAGAAUCAUGUGCUGCCAGGAAGCAAAGGCUGAAGGCCCACAGGAGAACAGUCUGCUAUCAAAACAAGCUGUUUUUAAAAGUCUGCUUGAAUGGGUAAAAUGCUUCAUGAAAAGUAGGGUGGAGACACCUACCUGCUUUUAAAAUGCUCUACUUUCAGAGGGCCUAUAAAUGAAAUAUUUUACUUUAUCUUAUUAUAUUUACACAAGAAUUAGGCAGAAAGAAAGCAAAUGUUAAUAUUUCUAAAGCAAGCAGAAUAUUUCCAAUGUAGUAAAAUUUAUUAAAGCAAGAAAUGAAUAUCUAUGUAAAAUACAUUUGCAGUGUAAUUCUAUUUCACUAUACAAAACUCUGAAGAAACCCAAAUAUAAAGCUAUACAAACUAAAAUUAUCCAGCUAUAAUGUAUUCAUUUUGUAUAAAAACACAUGAUGUAUUUAUUUAAUGUAUUUAAUCUUCAGUAAGUAAAAUGAUGCUUUCUAAAAAUGAUUUUUAAUAAUUCAAGUCCAGGUGGCAGAGUGAAAACAAUCAUUAAUGGUUGAAUUUAAAUGAAAAACUGCAGCAUGUAUCACAUGUU